UACGUAGGGGGCGAGCGUUGUCCGAAGUUACUGGGCGUAAAGCGCGCGUAGGCGGUUUGUUAAGUGGUCGGUGAAAGCCUCGGGCUCAACUCGGGGUCGUCUGAUCAUACUGGCAGGCUAGAGUGCGGGAGAGGAGAGUGGAACUCCUGGUGUAGCGGUGAUAUGCGUAGAGAUCAGGAAGAACACCCGUGGCGAAGGCGGCUCUCUAGACCGCAACUGACGCUGAGGCGCGAAAGCCAGGGUAG
rnacentral:rRNA from 1 species